UAGUCCACGCCGUAAACGAUGGUUACUAGCUGUUUGGACUAAUUGAGGUCUAAGUGGCCAAGCGAAAGUGAUAAGUAACCCACCUGGGGAGUACGUUCGCAAGAAUGAAACUCAAAGGAAUUGACGGGGGCCCGCACAAGCGGUGGAGCAUGUGGUUUAAUUCGAUGAUACGCGAGGAACCUUACCAGGGCUUAAAUGCAGUAUGACAGAUUUGGAAACAGAUUUUUCUUCGGACAUAUUGCAAGGUGCUGCAUGGUUGUCGUCAGCUCGUGCCGUGAGGUGUCAGGUUAAGUCCUAUAACGAGCGCAACCCCUGUUGUUAGUUACCAGCACGUAGUGGUGGGGACUCUAACAAGACUGCCGGUGCAAACCGUGAGGAAGGUGGGGAUGACGUCAAAUCAUCACGGCCCUUACGUCCUGGGCUACACACGUGCUACAAUGGUAGGUACAGCGAGCAGCCACUACGCAAGUAGGAGCGAAUCUACAAAACCUAUCUCAGUUCGGAUCGGAGUCUGCAA
rnacentral:rRNA from 1 species